CCACAAGUUUUCCAGCCAAAUGCGAAAAUUCCACACCUUUAUCACGAGGAAAUCUGCAAUGGCAUUUAGGAAUGACAAAUAGAAGCUCAACUAUUCGAAGCAGGAGACCGAAGAGAAAAAAGGAAGAGAGAUGAUAUUACAGCUGCAGAAAAGGAAAUAAUUAAAACGCAGAAGAAUAUAUUAAUGUACUGUGUGAAAUAUGUGACUUGUAUAAG